UACGGAGGGUGCGAGCGUUGUCCGGAAUCAUUGGGGCGUAAAGGGCGCGUAGGUGGCGGGACAAGCGUGCGGUGAAAGCCUGGGGGCUCAACCCCGGGUCGGCCGUGCGAACUGUUUUGCUUGAGCACUGUAGAGGCAGGCGGAAUUCCGGGUGUAGCGGUGGAAUGCGUAGAGAUCCGGAAGAACACCGGUGGCGAAGGCGGGUCUCUGGGCAGUAACUGACGCUGAGGAGCGAAAGCGUGGGGAGCGAACAGG
rnacentral:rRNA from 1 species